AUUGAACGCUGGCGGUAUGCCUUACACAUGCAAGUCGAACGGUAGAGGGGCAACCCUUGAGAGUGGCGAACGGGUGAGUAAUACAUCGGAACGUGCCCAGUCGUGGGGGAUAACGUAGCGAAAGCUACGCUAAUACCGCAUACGACCUGAGGGUGAAAGCGGGGGAUCGCAAGACCUCGCGCGAUUGGAGCGGCCGAUGGCAGAUUAGGUAGUUGGUGGGGUAAAGGCCUACCAAGCCUGCGAUCUGUAGCUGGUCUGAGAGGACGACCAGCCAAACUGGGACUGAGACACGGCACAGACUCCUACGGGAGGCAGCAGUGGGGAAUUUUGGACAAUGGGCGAAAGCCUGAUCCAGCCAUACCGCGUGCAGGAAGAAGGCCUUCGGGUUGUAAACCGCUUUUGUCAGGGAAGAAAUCUUCUGGGUUAAUACCUCGGGAGGAUGACGGUACCUGAAGAAUAAGCACCGGCUAACUACGUGCCAGCCGCCGCCGUAA
rnacentral:rRNA from 1 species